GCUGGCGGCGUGCUUAACACAUGCAAGUCGAACGGUGAAGGGGCCUGCUUUUGUGGGUCCUGGAUGAGUGGCGAACGGGUGAGUAACACGUGAGUAACCUCGCCCCCUUCUUCUGGAUAACCGCAUGAAAGUGUGGCUAAUACGGGAUAUUCUGUGCCUGCUGCAUGGUGGGUGUGGGAAAGAUUGCGCUUUUUUGGGUGUUUUUGUGGGGGAUGGGCUCGCGGCCUAUCAGCUUGUUGGUGGGGUGAUGGCCUACCAAGGCGGUGACGGGUAGCCGGCCUGAGAGGGUGGACGGUCACACUGGGACUGAGACACGGCCCAGACUCCUACGGGAGGCAGCAGUGGGGAAUAUUGCACAAUGGGCGCAAGCCUGAUGCAGCGACGCCGCGUGAGGGAUGGAGGCCUUCGGGUUGUGAACCUCUUUCGCCAGUGAAGCAGGCCUGCUCCUUGGUGGGUGGGUUGACGGUAGCUGGAUAAGAAGCGCCGGCUAACUAC
rnacentral:rRNA from 1 species